UGCACUCCAGCCUGGGCGACAACAGCAAGACUUCAUCUCAAAAGAAAGAAAGAAAGAGGGUCCAUAGUAUUCCUGGAGUGUACUGUACCACAGGGCGUCUGUGCGUGUGCUCACGUGCGUGUGCACGCAAGUGUGUAGAUAUUCAGGAUAAAAAUGAGACUGAAAGCCGAAGAGCCUGGAUGUGCCACACGGCUGCCGCAUCAGAAGAGGGAGCUGUGGGGAGGGAGACAGCAGAGGCUGCCCUUUUGUUCAAGAGCCUAAAGAUGCUUCCUGAAUGCCAGCUCGGCUCCUGGAGUCCCUGAGGCAGAGCGCACUUGCUCCCCUGGGUCAUGCACAAAUGCACUCACGUGUGUACACAGACACAGACAUGCACAGGUAGGCAGAUAGACACACGUGCACACACACACACACACACACACACACACACACACACACAAGCCUGCCUUGUUCACUGGCGCAGCCCUCCCCAGGCUCUCACAUGGCCUCCUGCACACUCCUGCCUGCAGGCACACAGGCAGGCACUCCCGCGUGUUCCGAAUGUGUGCCCAUGUAUGCUUCCUUGUCAGCCUGAUGCUGCUGGCCCUUGGAGGCGCCCCUCAGUGCCGCCUUGCUCCUGGACCCCUCUUUAGCUGGCUGCCUGGGACUAAUCCCUUCCCUUGCCCCUCCCCCCUGCUCCUGGCCCUCUGUACCUUCCAGAGUGUGAGUGAGAGGAGCCUGCUGGGGGAGGGAGGGAGGUCCCCUGGCCCACAACUGGGCCUACAAGCAUUCAGUGCCCGUUGCUGGCCCUACCAGUUGAGUCCUCACGGGGAGGCCCACCUCUGGACCAGUCACCUCCCAGGGCAAACAGGACGCGACUGUCUGACUUGGCCACAGGCUGACAGGCCCCUUGAGGCUGUCCUGUCUCAGGAUCUGUUUGUGUAGAGAGCCUCAGAGCUGCAGGGCCCAGCCUCCCAUGUUACCUGCAUUGGGGAGCAAACGAUUUUCACAUGUACAUGAAAUGCAGAGACCUGUGUGUGUGUGUGUGUGUGUGUGUGUGUGUGUGUGUGUAUGCAUGUAUGUGUGUUGGCUGCUCACCCCUCACCCAGCCCCUUAGGGGGUUGCUGAAGGAGAAAGGACCAGAGCCUUCCAGAAUCCCUCGGAACAGCCUGCAUGCCCGCGUGUGUGCUCCCGGGAGGGGUGUGAAGAGAAGAGGCAACCGCAGCUGGAGCCACUAUAGAUGUGGUGGGGCAGGGGAGCCUGGCAUUAGAAAUUGCUCAAGUGCUUGGCAUAUACACUUGGGUGGAGGUGCAUGGUGUGCAAGGCCACCCCCAUGAGAUGCUAGGUGGGCAGCUGGGUUCCUGGGUCUGGAGCUUGGCUAGAAGUCUGGCUGGUAGGGAGCAGGCAGGCCUCGGGGAGGGCGCCCCAGGCUGAGCAGCUGGCUUACUUCCUGGCAGUCCCAGCUUCCCGGGCCUCUUGCCCGCCCCUUGAGGCCCCCGGCUGCCGCCCUCUCUGCCCCAGCCCCGGCCACAUUGGCCCUUUGCACGGUGUUGACACACAUUCCAUCGCCUCUGCUUACCGCCUUGCUUUCCAUGUGGGCAGAUGCCUGCGGCGAUGGCUGUCUGGGCCUGUCCUCUCUCCGGGACCCUACUUCCUGCAUGGCGAUCUUGAGAAUACCUCCCACCCAUACUGACUUUGACCCGACCCGGUGGAGGUCUAGGGGGCUGAUUCUUGGAGUUUGGGGCACCCCUGUGAGUCCCCAGGCUGAGAGGGCCAACCUCCAGCCCUGGCUGGUGUAGACAAGCGUCCAGGUUUUGAAUCCGGGUUUGCUGCCUGGGAGGCCCUGUCCCUACUUAAGGCAGAUGGAGAUGCCUCUCUCAGGAGGCCCCAGGCCUUGGGGCCACAGUAAGGGGAGUGGAGAGGAGAGAGGGCCGUGUGAGGACCGCCGGCGGGGCCGGUGUGCCCUGUCAUCCUCUGGAGGUUGGGCGUGUGUUUGCAAUUCUUUACAGUAAAAAACUGAAAACAUGCUGGAAGGGAGAUUGAUCUCCUGACAGGAUCACGGACUUGUCAAGGUCGUCUUCACUUGCUCUAGGCGUCGCGCUCUUCGGCUGACCGCAGUGCCGCCUCCACCACCAAUGUGUCCACACACGCAGUGCCAACAAUGGUGCACACGGCAGCCCCUGCUCCCCUAUUUCUAGGCUUGUGUGGGACCCACAGCCCAGUGCACAUGACUCUUCCUCCUGCAGUGGAAGUGGGGUGCACUCCCAGGGGCCCCCGGCCUAAGGGGCUCACUCCCCAGCCUCCAUGCAGGUUGGCCGCUCACGCUCUCUGGAAAUGAGCCAAGGACAACAGGAGCUGCCUUCCCAAGGUCGCCCCAGCCCCCAUCAGGUUACUGGACGAUGCAGGUGCAAAGGUCUCCCCACCCCCCCGCCUCCACGGCCCAGGAAGACUCUGGACUCAGCCCAUUCCCUAGUGUCGGAGUGGCCUGGGCUGCCGCAGCAAAUGACCACAAACCGUGUGGCUUCAGCCAACAGGAAUUGACUCUCCCAGUUUUGGAGGCCGGAAUCCAGAAUUGGGCGCUUCCUCCGGUGGCUCUGGGGGAGGAUCCUCCCACCUCUUCCAGCUUCUGGGGGCCCCGGGCACUCCCCACCUUUGCCUCCACAUGGUCUUCUCUGUGUCUCCUGUCUCUUCUAAGGAAACUAUCCUUGGAUUUGGGGCCCUCUGGAUCCUCUAGGUUGCUCUCAUCUCCACAUCCUCAAUUUAAUGACAUCUGCAGACACCCUUUUUUUGCAUAUAAGGCCCUGAUCACAGGGCCCGGGUGUUAAGAUGUGGAUGUAUCUUUCGGUGGGGGCACCAACCAGUCACCCCACAACGUGUCAACAGCCCAGGCCCCAGCCACAGCGCCCUGGUGAAGGGACAAGCUUGGGCACCAGGCCACACAGCCGAAGGCCACUGGGCACCUCCCUGCCUCUGCUCAGGAAAAGGGGCUCCGAAGCUGUCCCUGCACUAGGCCCCCUGGGGGCCCUGCUCCCUGCAGCCGGAGGUUCCCUGAGCAGUGUCUCCACCCUUCCCCUAAGCCCCGGAUGGACAGCUUUCGUCCUGGGAGCACAGGCCUGCUGAGGGAUCCUUGCUGCGGGCUAAGUGCUCCUGGCCAGGGCCCAGGGUCUCUGAAGAAAAGAAAUCCCUGAGCUCUGGUUUCUCAGGGGCUGAAGGGGCUCCUAACUCAUGCUCAGCUCCCAGCAGCCAGGGCUGGGUGGGCAAGGCUGGGACAUGGGAGUGCUGAGCCCUCAGUAUAUGAAGGGGACACUGGCAUCUGGUAAAUGCAGAUUCCUAAGGUCUCUGUCCUCCAGAUCAGGACGCUUCAACUCAUUGAACCUCCUUUUUCAACUAGAUGCACAUGUGGGAAAGGCCUCUGCCCCCAGGAUCCCGCAGCCAGCUGGGUCAGCUGAGCCAGCCCAAGGCAGAGGAGGGCCGCCCCCACUCUCCUUCUACCUCCUUCAGACCAUGUAGCUCCACAGUUAGCCCUGGGGCGAGGUGCCGCCUUGGCCCCUGCCCUGCCGUGAAGGUGGCCCACAGCCCCCUUUGGCCUGGUCUUCUCCCACUGGCUCAGUCCUCUGGGGGACUCUCUUGCCUCCCAUGGACACCUUGGCUUCACCCUGGACCUCCCUGCUGGGCCUCUGGGGACCUGCUGCUGACCUGUCCCCAGGAGGGAGCUGCCUCUGGCCUGGCAGGUGCCCCCAGCACAGCGGGCAGGACCACAGCUGUGGGACAGCGCCUGCUCCCCUGUGCCCCGGAUACCUCGCCUGCCCCUCGUGGACCAGCCUGGGACAAGAGGAGAAUGGGAGACCGGAGCUGGGGAGCAGCCAGGCCAGCCAGACUGGGAGGGGGUGGCGAGGACCCAGGGAGGAGAGGGGAUCUCCCCACUCCCAGACCCCCACUCUUCCUCCCCAGCCCCUCCUCACCCACCUUCACACUCCAGCUCUUUCUCCUCCCUUGGCUCUGCCAGGGGCUGUCUCACUCCCUGGACUUUUGACCUGCCGGGCAGUGGCCGCUUUGCAAGUGGCUUCUGGGCCAUUGCCCGGAGGGUUGGCGUGAGAAGAUCGACCAUGAGGAAGAGAUAUGGCUCCAGGGCAGUGAGUGGAAGGCUCUUUCCCCCAGGAAAUACUGGACCUGUUCAUAUAUUCAUUCAUUCAUUCAACACAUAUUGAAGCACCUGUGCUGGUGAUAGAAGAGUGGACUCGACCAAAUGGCUGUUUGACAACCUAGCUGGGGAGCCGGAAGGUUACCUGAAUGAAGGUCAGCUUAUUCCAAGCCAGGGUGCACCUGGGCCCAGGCAUCCUCUGAGCCCCUCAGCAUGAGCAUGGCUGUGGCAGGUUCCUGACUCACCAACCUCUUGUCCUGUGGCACCUGGGGGGUCCUGGGUGGCAGUGCCUGUGCAGCCAUGAGACCUCCCUGGGGCCCAGAAACCGUGGCUACUGGGCUUCAUGGUGAGCCCGGGCUCCCUAGGCCUGUGAGGCGUUGGGGUUCUGGCCAGCCUGCAGCCUUCAGUGGGGUGGGUCUGCACAACGGAACCUCUGGCCUAUGGUCUGCAGGCUCCACGUCUCCAUCAUGGCCUUCCCUUCCCUCCUUCCUUGCAGUUAACCUACAUUUGGUGUCUCCUGGCUUUGCCCUUUGUUUCUCCUGCUCACGGUGCCAGCCUCUGAGAACAGGCUUCUGGGCCAUCCCAGUCCCUCCUGCCCCUCCCCCUUACUUGAAGCCAGAGGUCAUGGAGCUGAAGCACCAGGCCCUGGAGGAGGGUCAUGGGAGACAGAGGGAACUGUCUAAAGGGGGUGAGGGAGAAGGGAGUGACACCUGGUUGGGGCGGGUGACUGUCAAGUGAGACCAGGCUUUCCAGAAGUCUGGCUAGGAGGCGCGGUCCUGUGAGCAAGAGGGUGUAGCUGGAGGGGGCUCCAGUCUGCCUGUCCCUCCCCAACCUUGGCUGUGUCCCCAGCUUUCCUCUCAGUGGCCCAGCCCGGCCUGGUGUUCGCAGUCGGUGAGUUCCUCCUGAGCCAGUUGUGACAGGGACCUGUUCUUCAGGACAGGGGGUGUUCCAUGUGGCUUGGUUCUGUGGGGUCCAGUCUGCCCAGCCAGUGGCCCUGGGGCUUGACUUGUUGGCGGCCCUUGAUCCAUGGCACCCACCACUCAUGUGCUUCAAGGGGCUUUUUCUCACCGAACAAGUGUCCCAUGGUUGCCAUAAGAAAUGACCAUGGGCCCUGGGGCUUCAAACAGCAGCAAUCGAUUCCCUCACGCUCUGGAAGCCAGAAGUGUGAGAUCUAGGCGUGCGCAGGGCCGAGUCUCCGGGGGGAUCCUUCCUGCUUCUUCCAGCUCCUGGGGGCUCCAGGCUUCCUUGGCUCAUGGCUGCAUCACCCCAAUUUCCACCUCCAUCUCCACAUGGCCUUCUCCUCUCUGUCUCUCCUGUGUCUCAGAAGGAUGCCUGUCAUGAGAUUUGGCACCCCCUGCCCCCCAUCAUGUAGACUGAGCUUAUCUCGAGAGCCUGACUGUCAUCACAUCUGCAGAUACCCUCUUUCCUAACAGGGUCCCACUCACAGGCUCCAGAACGUGGACACACCUUUUGAGGACCAGCACACCCCGACAGGCACCCCAUUUCUGAGGACAGCAGCACGUGGAUGCUGACAGGGCAGCUGCUCUCUGCUGAAGUGUGACAGGGCUAAGCCCUGCAGUGGGGGCCCCUCCCUCCUCCUGGCCCAGCCGCCAAAGCCACACGCUCUGUCACCCUUGCCUGCUCUGGCUCUGGAGAGCUGAGGGCCCUUCUGGGGGCCCGGAUGUGUCUGUGGCUGAGCUCGGGUACAGGUUGAUGCCUAGGGUGCCCCUGUUUGUGAAUGAGAGGAGUGGGCGUUGGAGAGGCCAAGUCCUUGACCUAACCUAGCCAGAGGGGAGAGGCCAGUGUCUUUGCAGAGGGGCUGACCUCAGGAGACAGCAAACACAGGGGCAAGGACAGGCCAUCUGGAAGGCUGGCAGGAAGCAGAGUGGUGGGGGCGGCGGGUCCAGUGGUGUCGGGGAGUGCUGGGGCCCGAAGGAUGUGGGGGCAGGAGUGUGCCAAGACAAGGGUCCGCCCACGUCUUGGGGGCCUCCUCGAAGGCUUCCAUGAGUCCCAUCCCCCAAACCUUUGCUGUUCUACCCCUUCCUAUCCCCAUGCUUGGAAAUUAUGCGGCCACAUAAAUGCCGCUCAUGGUGGGGCCAUGCAAGCUGCAUUUUGUUUUCCCAGGAGUUAAUCAUUGUCCUUUGGGUUUGCUGUUUGCAUGUAUCACGAACUCAACCCUAGACCCCAUCCAUGUGUGGAAAUGUUCUCUCAAGAUGUCCAAACACAGCCGGCGUUCGAGUGAUUUCAUCUUGCAGAAACCCUUUCACAGCAGAGCCUCUAACCUCCCCAGGCUGUCUGCCUUGCCCCUGCCCCUGGGCAAAGCUGGCAUCCUGGGUCUCCCUCUGCCCUUCCCCCCUCCUAUGUUGCAGCCCUCAGUUUAUGGUCACUUUUCCUUUAAAAAUAAUGUACUGCUUGUAUAAAGUUAAAAACACACAUUAAGAAAGAGCUAGACGGGAUCUCAGUAGCCUUGACUGUUCCACGUGACCUUGAGUAGUCAUCUCCCCUUGCGGGAUCUUGCUCGCAUUAUCUCUGGAAGGACAGAGUUGGACUGCAGUUAUUCACGAAUGCUUCACUUAUUCAACAGACACUUGUUUAGUGGUGACUCUUAAGAAAAUGGUUUAUCAUGGAAAAGUUCAAACAUAAACAAAGAGAGAGUUCAUGAAACCCUGUGGAUCCAUCAACUGGCAUCAAUAGUUUGCCCAUAUUUUUCAUUUAUACUUUUCUUUUUUUCUGCUGGAAUAUUUUUUAACUUGUUCUUUUUAAACCGUUAGAUUCACGAGGACUUCGGUGAGAAGUGCCUGGGAAGCUGUGGCCCCUCCCCACAGGUCCCUCUGACAUUGGCUACUUGAACACCCGAGGCACGACCGGAACCCGGACGUGAUGUCCAUGCUCAGGUGUCUCCUGUGUGCGUGCACUCGUUGUCUACUAGACCAUUUUAAAAGGUGAGAGUUCUGCUGAAUUCCAUAUGGAGAGGCACCGUAAUUCUUUCGUGGCUAACAAACCUCAAAAGUCUUCAUUAGGCCCUGGUGACCCCUCCAGGUAACGGACGAGGGGAGAAAUUGGGUCCCAGGACUGGCUCUGACCCCUGCCAUCUCCGGUCACAACAGCUGGUACUCACUGGUAGGGCUGUGCCUGUGGCUAAAAUGUCAAAGUACCUCUGCACCCGUUGGUAAACUGCAGCUGACCCUGAACCAGUCUCUCCUUUGGGACCCCCCCUCGGCCCCUGCUCCUCCUGAUCCGGAACUAGUGGCUCAUUCUGGGCACAGCAGUGGCCCUUGGAGAACCUGCAUCAGCCCCUCAGCAGCCUCUAUACCUGGGCUAUCCUGGUGUUAAGUGCUGGAAAAUUCACACUGCGCCCUUGGGGUCCCAGCACCCACACUUUGGGAGGAGAGAAGACUUCAGGUGACGUCCACCCACCGGCUCUGUGUGCAGCCCUGUCCACCCACAGCCAGUUUGCCUCAUGGCUAGGUCACCUCCAAGCCUGAAUUUGGAAUUCAAAUGAAGGAGUUUAUUUUUACCUUUUAUUCAACAGCGGCUGUAGCUUAAUCAGUUCUCUAAUGAUCAAUUGUUCUGAUUCUAAGAAAUCAAACACUUUGAAACCAA